rnacentral:rRNA from 1 species
GACGAACGCUGGCGGCGUGCUUAACACAUGCAAGUCGAACGGAAAGGCCUGCUUUCCCUUGUGGAUUGCGGGUACUCGAGUGGCGAACGGGUGAGUAACACGUGAGUGAUCUGCCCCCAGCUUGGGUAUAAGCCUGGGAAACUGGGUCUAAUUCCCGAUAGGACUGCAGGGUGGUGCCUGUGGUGGAAAACGAUUUUCUAGUGGUUGGGGAUGAGCUCGCGGCCUAUCAGCUUGUUGGUGGGGUAAUGACCUACCAAGGCGGCGACGGGUAGCCGGCCUGGGAGGGUGGACCGCCACAUUGGGAAUGAGGUCCGGCCCAGAACGGUACGCAGGAGAGGGGUAGGGAAUGUUGCGCGAUAGGGGGAAGCGUAGCGCAGCGGCGCCGCGUAGGAGGUUACGGGGUUCGGAAUGUUAUCUUCUUUCGAACGAGAGAAUGCGUCAUGGUUGAAGGGGUUGUGGAGGUAGUGGAAGCAGAAGGCCCGGCUAAAUACGUG